rnacentral:rRNA from 1 species
UACGGAAGGCAGCAGUGGGGAAUAUUGCACAAUGGGCGCAAGCCUGAUGCAGCCAUGCCGCGUGUAUGAAGAAGGCCUUCGGGUUGUAAAGUACUUUCAGCGGGGAGGAAGGCGAUGCGGUUAAUAACCGCGUCGAUUGACGUUACCCGCAGAAGAAGCACCGGCUAACUCCGUGCCAGCAGCCGCGGUAAUACGGAGGGUGCAAGCGUUAAUCGGAAUUACUGGGCGUAAAGCGCACGCAGGCGGUCUGUUAAGUCAGAUGUGAAAUCCCCGGGCUUAACCUGGGAACUGCAUUUUGAAACUGGCAGGCUUGAGUCUUGUAGAGGGGGUAGAAUUCCAGGUGUAGCGGUGAAAUGCGUAGAGAUCUGGAGGAAUACCGGUGGCGAAGGCGGCCCCUGGGACAAAGCUGACGCUCAGGU